AAUCAACGCUGGCGGCGUGCCUCAGACAUGCUAGUCGAACGAUUAAGACUUCCUUCGGGAAGUGCAUAAAGUGGCGCACGGGUGAGUAACACGUAAGUAAUCUACCCUCGAGUGGGGAAUAACGUUCGGAAACGAACGCUAAUACCGCAUAAUGCAGCGGCAUCGCAAGAUGACAGUUGUUAAAGGAGUAAUUCGCUUGAGGAGGAGCUUGCGGCAGAUUAGCUAGUUGGUAAGGUAACGGCUUACCAAGGCUACGAUCUGUAUCCGGUCUAAGAGGACGGUCGGACACACUGACACUGAAUAACGGGUCAGAAUCCUACGGGAGGCAGCAGUCGGGAAUUUUGGGCAAUGGGCGAAAGCCUGACCCAGCAACGCCGCGUGAAGGAUGAAGUAUUUCGGUAUGUAAACUUCGAAAGAAUGGGAAGAAUAAAUGACGGUACCAUUUAUAAGCUCCGGCUAACUACGUGCCAGCCGCCGCAGUAAUAC
rnacentral:rRNA from 1 species